GAUGAAGAACGUAGCGAAAUGCGAUAAGUAAUGUGAAUUGCAGAAUUCGGUGAAUCAUCGAAUCUUUGAACGCACCUUGCACCCUUUGGCAUUCCGAAGGGUAUGCUCGUUUGAGUGUCAUUGUACUCUCACACUCUCCGAUCCUAUGGAUUCAGGGAGCGGUGGACUUGGGUGUUGCUGCCUUUCCUUGUGGCUCACCUCAAAUGUGUCAGUGCACCUCUUGGUUGGACAUAGUACGGCGUGAUAAGUGUCUUCGCCGGCACCUCGCAAGAGGGUGGCCGAUCGGGAGCUCUGUGCUUUCAAACCGUCUUCGGACAAAUUCUGACAACUUGACCUCAAAUCGAGUAGGACUACCCGCUGAACUUAAGCAUAUCAAUAAGCGGAGGA
rnacentral:misc_RNA from 1 species